rnacentral:rRNA from 1 species
CAGUAGCCACGGGAACACGUAGGGUGCAAGCGUUAAUCGGAAUUACUGGGCGUAAAGCGUGCGCAGGCGGUUCGGAAAGAAAGAUGUGAAAUCCCAGAGCUUAACUUUGGAACUGCAUUUUUAACUACCGGGCUAGAGUGUGUCAGAGGGAGGUGGAAUUCCGCGUGUAGCAGUGAAAUGCGUAGAUAUGCGGAGGAACACCGAUGGCGAAGGCAGCCUCCUGGGAUAACACUGACGCUCAUGCACGAAAGCGUGGGGAGCAAACAGGAUUAGAUACCCGCGUAGUCCCUGUCUCUUAUAC